AGCGGAAGCGCGCGCUCCCGGGUCCCGCCUCCUCGCUGUCGCGGGAGGGUCGCCUUCCGUGACAGCGUCCCUCGGGCGUCCCGUCCCGUCAGGCGGCGGGAUCUGGCAGGUCCGCAGCUGGGUCUGAGGUUGGAGCCACCCGGGCCUUGCCGAGCCUCCCGACUAAGCCGGUGCGAGGCGGAGACUGAGACGGAAUGCUGCGGGGGAGACGAGCCUGCGCAGUGUCUUCGCCCUGCGCAACCCGGCGGGCUGAGCCCUCGGGAAGCCUGUUCGCUAAGAGGAAGGGUGUUCUGCGGGUUUCCUCACCCCGCCUCGCCUCGGUGCUGCCCCCACCUCUCUUUCCACCGCACAGGCAAGAGGGAGUCUACUACCUGUGCCCCAGGAGCAAGGCCCCUCGCAGUGCCUGUGCUCUGUGCGCACGCUCCUCCUAGGGAAGCUUCCUGGGGGCUGACCGGCAUGCCCUGAGGCCCCGGGCUUUGCUGGGCUUCCUCUGGACGGCGUUAAAGCCCUGUCACUUCACGGACGUUAUUUGUGGACUCAGGCUCCACAGAAUGGUGAACUUGUAAACAGAACCUUUAUUCACCUGCCUCAAUUGUUGUCUUGGAGGCUUCCUGCCUCUGUCUGCUGACCCAGGCCUAGUCCUGGAAACUUCCAGCCUCUGUUCAAUCUAACCUAAGACUAGAACGUUUCCAGCUCUGAGACUUACUGCUGAAUAAGCCCACCUUUUCUAGUUCUUUCUGAGCUCAUAGCUGGCUGGUUCAACUCAGCUGUUUUGGCUCCCAACUAACUUAUUAAUUAAAGCUGGCUUUGGGUUUGGAGUGUGGCUCUCUCCGUUAGACACAUGCAUGCUUGUUAAAGGAAAAUCCAAAAUCUCUAUCAUAGCAGAAGAGGCAGAAGAGAUGGGACAUAGAAAAACAAAAAAUAAGGGACUAUUCUAUUGUCACUGAUCUCAUAAUCUUUUGGUUUUCAUUUGACUCUCUAAAUUUUUUAAAUGUAUAAAUAUUACCUCAAAAUCUACAAGAUUAUUCUGUAUAUAUAAACUUUCUAUUGUGAUACUACUAAUCAUACAGAGUACUAACUAAUUCUAGAAAUAAGCUUCAUCUAGUUUCAUUUAUGUGUUUCCAUGUUUGAGUCUGAAGCAAGUAUCUGAGAACAAACUUUGUGUACCUUGGAUGUACUUAAUAGAUUAUGGUCCUCAAUCCUUUUCUGAGAUCUGCUGAAUAUGGCAUUUAAAAUGUUUUGCUUUUCUCCCACUCCUAGCUUAGCCUUUUAGGUUUCCAAGAAGAUGAUGGAGACUCCAGUGGUGAAUUCACCAACCACUGGGAAAAACUGCUCCAGCUUCUCCUGCUGCCUGGUUCUGCACAGUGGACGGCUUUGUGUUGGCUGUUAUGUUCUGCCUCGUCAGGAUUGCCACUAUGCUGACAAACACCACCUAAAGAUCAGCUUUGGAUGGACUGCUUAGGACAUUCAAAUUGCUGAGUUCAUAUGAGACUAACACAAACAUUUUACAGAACGUUGAAUUAAAAAAUACUUAAUUCUAAGACUGCCAAAUACAACCAUGCUGGACAUUGUGGAAAGCUUAGCAAAAAUUGCUUAAUUUUUGUAAGUAGUUUUACUUUAUCUUUCCUUUUUAUUUAGACAAAAAGGCAGGUAUAGAAAUAACAUAAGAAUGAUAGGGAAAAAAGGUUAGAUUAUUGAAUCUACUCUCAUAGAUAUUUCUAUAUUAUAUAAAAUCAAAGUUACAGUUGAUUACAUUGAUACGGAUCUUUGUAUAUUGAUUCAAAAUUAAGGUUUUGGUUACAACAUAGUAUGUAUGAAUUCUUUAAGGUAUUGUACCUAUGUAAUUCUAAAAAAUGCAACAUGAAGUUCUAGUCCUUUUGAAAGCUACUAUCACAAACUGUUUAGGAUAAUUGACUAAUAGUCAAUCAAACUUGUAGUUUUGUAGGUACUAGUUUAUCAAGGGUGUUUUCUAAGUUAAUCAAUCAAUAUACAGCUAAAAACCAGCAAUUCAGGCAUAGUAUACAUAGAUGAUUUUCAAAAAAACCUCAGUAUGGCAUUUAAAUAUGUUUUAUUAUUUUGAGACUUGGUUUGUUUGUUUGUUUGUUUGUUUGUUUGUUUUUCACUAUGAAACCAUGUCAGCUCUUGGUAGCAGCCCCUUUCAACUUCAAAGAAGAUGAUCAUCAAAAAAAAAUUUUCUUUAGGAGAUGGCUUCAUAUGUGUCAAGCUAGCUACUGGGCAAGAAAAUGCCCUUACUUCAACUGCAAUUAGAAUACUAGACAAACUGGAUGCAGAAAAGUCGACUGCUGGGCUUUGCAAGGACAAGGUAGGCAAGUUCUUCAUUAUACCUGCUUCAUAAAAAUACUGUCAGAGAUUCUGAUCCAGAAGGCUGAAGAAGAUGCUCCAACGUUAUUAGAGCUAUCUUGGGUGACUGUCUAUAGUUUUCUAUAGUUUUGGAAGCUGCUUGCUCUGUUGUGCUUAUUCAGAUAUUUAUCCUUCUCAGGUCUCUGAUGGGAUUGAAGACUAAAUAGUUACAGUCUUAUAAUUAAGCUUAAGUUGCUUAGGAUUUAAGAUGCUUUAAGUCUAAAAACAUGCUUUUUUGAUUGGUAUUGCAAGUUAUGAUACAAAGAGAUUUAGGUACAGAACUUUGGACUCAGCAAAAUAGAAUAGAUAGUAGAAUAUUUUCUUCAAGGUUGCUAAUUACAUAUGGACUGGACAUUUUGAAUGGACUAUAUAUAUAUAUAUAUAUGUAUAUGUAUACAUAGUUUAUUGGUGUUAGAUAAAAGUAUUUUAUUUAGACAAAAAGGGGGAAAUAUUGCCAGAUAUUUGAUCCCAUUGUGAACCCUGAGAUUGUGAACUGUGAAACCUGUCUUUGGUGUGGCUCUGCCCUAGCACACACCUGUUAUCCAAGAACUUUCUGUACACAGGAUUUAAUAAAGUUAACCCUAGGUCAAGAGGUGGAACAAGAAACCAGCUGACAGGGAUUAAGCAGUAGGAGGGACUUAGAGUUGUAGGGUAUUUAAAACAGCGUGGAGAAGAAAAAGAAGCUUUAGCUCUCUAGCUCUUGGGCUCUUUAGCUCUUUGGCCUUGUGCUUUUGGGUUUCUCCUCUUGGGCUGUCAGCUGAGCCAGCAAGCUUUUAGCAUUGGACUUUCAGCCUUUUCCUCCUGGGAUGUGAGCUGAGUAGGAAGAUCAGCUGGUAGGUUUUCACCCCAGCACCUGGCUCCUGAGUCUUCACUGGUAAAAACAGAACGGUUGGGAAUUUCAUUUUCUAUAACAACGUGAACUCGUUUGAAAGACAUCAUGAACUGUGAUUUCGCCCUAGAUUUGAUCUGGUGUCUCACUGUCUCCUCCUAAGUACAGUCACUGGAAAACAGCAGGUAACGGAGGGAUUCCUACUUGCUGGCACAUCCAAGGGGCAGGAAAGGGUGUGAGAAGCACUUUCUUAUUCAAAGGAUGAAUACGGUUGUUGAAGGCGUCGGGAUGAGCAGCGUGUGUGAGGCUGGCGACUUCUUUCAGAGGUAGCAAAUUGCUCACAUGUUAUGCUAGUGUUAAGGCCGCACACAACCGAUCAGACAGCUGAGCUAGCAGGAAGCCAGAAGCUGGCUCCAGAUGAGCUGGGUGCUGCUGGGAGCCACUCAGAACAGCCUGGCCCGGGGAUUUAGUUCUGAACUGUGAACCCUUCCUGAAUCCCCUUUCUAGCCCCUACCCAGAAGCCCUCUGAGGACAGCCUUGCUUCAGUCGACUGGAACUUUAAACAUCUACAAGGGAUACUGGAGUGUGCGUGAAUCCCCGGAUGACCUUUACCUAUGGGACGAGAACCUUAUGUGGCCAUUUUUAAAUCACCGCAGAACCUCACAGAGGGCAUGUUUGUUUGGGCUCAUCAGGCUGGAGGGUUGUGUGGGGUGGUGAGCGGCAGAGCUGCUCAGUGGAUGACGCCUGCACAGCCAUCUGUGCGAGGCCAGAAGAGGGUGUCAUGUCCUCUGGAACUGGAGUUACAGACAGUCGUGAGCCACUAUGUGGGUGCUGGGAACUGAACCUGAGUCCUCUGCAAAGGACUCGGAGCUAGUGCUCUUAAACCCUCAACCAUCCCUCCAGCCUCUAUUUAAAAAAUAUUUUUAAGUUUUUUUAAAUCAGUGUGUUGUAGUAAAUAAAAGGGUGUUGGGUUAUAUAUUAUUUGCCCUAUGAUUAUCAAGGCAGUAUUGUCUAACCCACUAUCACAAUCAAUCAAAUAAGACACAGACACCUGUUAGGGUUUAUAAUUGCCUUAUUUACCUUGGGCCCGGCAGAUAUCUCCCUACACUAUCUCAAUAUCCUCACCAUCCAUCUCCCACCCCCCACCUAAUGCCAUCCUUCUUACCCAUACUUACUGGUCUACGCUCUAUCCAUAAUCCCAAGAUAACUUGCUUGUAUUCUUCAUCUGUGCCUUUCCAUGACAUUCUUGGAGUCCUCUCUCCUGGUUAGUGUGAUUUCUUCUCCACACUAACCCAUCAUGGCACCCUCCUUCCUCCUUUCUCCCAUGAUCCUCUCUUCCUGUCCUCAAAAGCCCGGGAACAUUAGCCAUGCCCACCCCAUUCUGCCCUGCCCAGGUACAGACCUUUAACCAACUGACCAGGUUUACAUAACAAGGACAGGUAAAUCCAGGAAGUAACCAGAUCUUGAGGGCCAGCAUCAGAGCAACCCCCAACAUCAGUGUCUUAUUCACUGUUCUACUGCUGUGAAGAGAAACAUGGCCACCGCAGCUCCUAUAAAAGAAAGUAUUUGAGUGGGCUCUGUUUACAUUUUCCCUUAUGGCGGCAUGCGUGCUGCUGGAGCUGUUGGUGAGAGCCACAUCCUCAUCCACAGGCAGAGAGAGAACUGGGCCUAGCAUGGGCCCUAGUAGCACACUCCCUCCAAGAAGGCCACACCUCCUAAUCCUCAAGUAUCGCCACUUCCUUAUGACGUGGCACUCAAAUAUGAGCCUGUGGGGUAUUUCUAGCUAAUCACUACAAUCAGGAAAAGAAGAGUCAAAAGCCAAAAAUAGGUUUAUUCUGUGUCUUAUGUCCAAGUAGAAUAACCUGUGCCUUGCUCGUAUUUCUUCCUCUGGAUUUUGGCUUACAGACAGCGCUCUCACGCAGGCUCACAGUGCUCUCACGCAGGCUCGGGGUUCUUCUAGUGGUUAUUGUAAAGCAGGCCUGCUAUUGCUCAACUGUCAAAGUUUUUGUUCAUCUUAAUGAAGGAGGAUUUAAUUUCAAUCCAUUUUUAUUUGAUACUGAGGAUUCAUACUCUCUUAAUACCGAGACAGUCUCCAAUAAAGCAAGAAGCAGAUCUGAUGACGGAGAACUGAGGUCCUCACGGGCUGGGUUCGAACCACACACGAUGGAAGCUGCUCAGAUUUCAGCACUUCGCUUGGGGUGUGGUGUCUUCCAGAGAUGCCUCCGCCCUACCGCGAGGAGGAAAGGGCGGCUGUGUGCAGCAGAGAGCCCAGACACACUCUCUGUGGUACUGUGUCAGGCUCGUGGGUUGCCUCUGUUUGGCACACGCGGGUGCCGCACACGCACUGCAGAGAACGCCUGGCGAACACCUCAGCGGUGUGAAGGGGAUGAUGCAGAAAACAGUACCUCUGACAUCCUAGCUUGAACCCGGCACCUCUGAGGAAGGGUUCUAAGGGUACAAAUUCCAGUUUGGCCCCAACAUCAUGGUGCAGAGACAUGGGGAAGGCCAUCUGGAAAUGCAUGAACUGCGUCUGUUCUUGACACUGAAGUCAACUAGCUCCUAGCAAGUCUGCUCAGAACCAGAGACAUGGAACCAAAGAAUGAUGUGAACCUUUUAAACCCAACAAGCAGAAACGGGAAAGAUGAACAUAAGAUUAUCCAAAACACACAGAAUAGCCCUAAAUCAACAGAUAAGUAACAAGGAAGAACAUUUGCAAAUUAUCUCUCAAAUUCAGUGAGAAAACAAUUCUUGAAAAUGGAGAGCUUCAUGCUGACGAUAUGGGAGGAAUAAUUACCCCUUUCACAAGACAACAGACUUUUCCUACUCAGAGUUCCUGCUAAAUGCAAAGAGACUUGGAAAAAUCUAACAACACAUGCCUGAGCCUCUGACCCCAGCAGCCUCACUUCUAGGAAUCUAUCCUGAAAACACAUCGCAGAUAACCGGUUAUUUGCACAAGGUUGUGUAAGGCAAUACUGUUUGUCAUAGCGAGGCACCGGCACACAGGAAAAUGUCUGUGAACUGUACUGUUUCCAGAAUUCAUUUUCACAGUUAAGGUCUGAGUGGACAGCAGGACAUACAUAGAGGGAGCUAUAGAAACAUUUAGGUAUUUCCAGCAAACACGGCUCCCUGUGGAGAUGGAAGACAUGAGGGGAGAGGCUUGGAAGUGAGACUUCCCCGAAUUGAGGUGCCUUUUUGUAGUUUUUAACUUUGGCACUGUGUAAACAUUUCACACAUUCAAAUUUUAAAAAGAUAAGAAUAAAGUCCUAAAAUGGAAAACAAAUUGGGACAAAUGAGCCUAACUUUACUUCAAAUGCGGCAGCAACAGUUAACAGACAGAAGAAUUAUUUCAGAAGUCUUGUACACCUCAGAAGGAUAUGGUGUAAGGAUAGAUGAGAGCCAGGCACUUUCAUUCCUUAUUGUUAAUACAGUAUUAAAGUUCUAACCUAGUGGAAAAAUAUGUAAUUCAGAAUUGGAAGAAAUGUUACAUCAGUAUAAGCCCAGAUUAUCAGUGUAAGAGAAAAACACCAAAAACAAAUAUUGGGGCUGGUGAGAUGGCUCUUCAGGGAAAGACACUUGCUGCUAAGACUAAAAUCCGGGUUCAGUCAGGGGAACCACAUGGAACCAACUCAAGUUGUCUUCUGACCUAAAUAAAUAUAAUAAAAAGUUUUAAAAAACCCUAAGUCAAAGUUAAACCAUUAUAAGAUGACAUUUAAUCAAGUCAUUCUAUAUAAAACCAUCUUUUUCAAAGGCUGUUUGGAAGGGCCUGUGAGGGUGGCCGAGCUGACAGUGGCCACUCCCUGCUCCAGGUCUCCACAUCUGCCUUUCACUCCUCACGAAACACGUCCCUGCCCUGAGAUGUGUGUUGAGCCAUUUGGAAUUGAUUGCCAGUGGUUCAGCUGUGGCUGUGGUUAGCUGCAAGCAGAUAACCUGUGCUUGGUGUGACCUGAGGCACACAUGCUCUCUCCUCUACACAGCCUCCUCCGGGUAAAGCCAAGCGAACACCCGGAAGAUCUGGAGACAGAGCUGCUGGUCGCGACAGGUAAAGCUGCUGGAUUCCACUUUAUUUUCAUUUUCUAAGCAUGGGUGUUUCGUCUGCAUGUAUGUCGGUAUACCACAUGUGCGCUGGUGUCAUGAGCAGAGGGCCUCAGGUGCCCCGGAGCUGGACUUACAGACAGUUGUGAGCUGCGUAUGGGAGCUGAGACUCAAACCCAGGUACUCUGGAAGCAGCCAGUGCCCUGACCACUGAGCCCUCCCUCCAGCCCUGACUCGCAGAGACCUCAAGGUGAGCAGUGCCAGGCCCACGCUGGUCUGCUGACACUCUUGGCAUCCUACUCAUCGAGGUAUUUUUGAUGGAGCAGCAGCACCUCAGCCUUGUCAGUUGGUUGCUUCAUCAAAACACCGUGUCCCAGCAUUUUUUUUUUUUUAAGUUUUGCAUUUGUUUCUCUGGCUGUGGUGUAUGGAGAACUUGUACUAGUUUCGGAAUGGCAGAGGGCUUUACACAAAGACUUGGGCAUUGGGAAACACAGUGUCAUAUGGGGCCUGUGAUUGGCUUGCUAGGUAGGUUUAGGGCAAGUCCUGCCAUGUUUUUGGAUUUUAGUUUUUCAGCUGCCAAACGUAGGUGUGAGCCUUGAUUUCCUGCCUCUUUAAACAGUGAUUUGAAAUUUCUCCCAAGCAGGGCAACGUUUAACAGGAAUUUCCUGCCAGCAGCAGAGAGACUGAGGCGCGGCUGCAGUGGGAAGGACCUGCAGUGCUGGUGGCCUCCGCCCAGGGGCUCCCUGAUUAAAGGGACAGUGUUCAGGGAAAGAGGGGCCUGCCCAGAUGGCCCAGGGGUGAGUUGUUGGCUGCUCUGGCCAAGCUCAGGCUGCAGACCCCGCCUGUGUGGCACAGCCACCUGUAACCCAGCUCCAGGAGACCUGCGCCCUUUUCCAAGGCACCUGCGCUUCCGUGGCGAUAAACACAGGCACAUGUGUAUAAAGAAACAGAUAUUUUAUAAAAGAACAACAUUUUGGUAUGUAACAUAACUAUCCUUAAUCUUAAUCACUAAAUUAUUUUAACUAUUAAAAUAUGUUUUAAAU